AUUAGUGCUCAAGUGAAGUUCUCUCGUGAAACUGAAAUUUAGUUAAAGAAAAGUUGUUUCUGAUAUAAAGUGCUAAAUUUUCACAUUAGUUGUUACACACACACAUACCAUGUAUAUAUAUUGUUCAACGGCAAUGCAAAAGUGUGCAGAAACAGUUGGAAAGGCGAACCUGCGGAGCUAUAACAUGGCACGAAGGCUGAAAUAAUUGCUAGUACGGGUUUCUCAAGCAUUUCUGCUCUGAACAAAGAAAAUGAAAUCAGCUUCUCGUCCUCCUCGUCGACAUCUCAGCGUGGGCACGUCAGGCAUUUUCACAUAACGGCGAAAUGGGGCCACACGAAACCAGACUUGGCGGUGCGAAAACCCAAACCAAGUUUUUCAUCUUUGGCUAGAAAGUUGCACUGUAGGCAGGCUGAGGCAGAUGCCAGGCGUUUGAAUUGCUAGCCGGAGUGUGCGGAGUGUGUGUGUUGUCCUGGACUUGAGGAGUUUGGAUAGGAAGCCAGGUAUAAAACGCAGCGAAGACAGCUUGUUCUCUCUUGUUAUACUUGGGCGUUGAAAGUUGAUACGCGAUCGAUCGAUGUUAUAACUCGAAUGCAAUGCGUGCGAAAGGGCAUUACAACAGCUGAAAUAUGCCGUUGGUUUUUGGCCCCGUUAGCCGUGUGGCGAGAGUAUAUCUGAACUCAGCGACCUGUGUGUGUGUCGCUACCUACACACAGGGGUACUAAACAUCGUUUUUAUCAGAUUGUGAUUGCGUGGAUUGAAUUUAUAGGAACCUGUAUCGACUUCUCUGCUCUACUAUGACUUGUUCAAAACAAAGGCGCACAAUUACCUAUACGUUUAUAUACGGCCUUCUAUUAUUUACCUAACAUCAUCGAACCGUUAUCAAUACCGAUCCAAACAGAUAUAAACACUACUGACAUCGAUCGAUAAAGAUAUAUAUAUAUAUCUCGUAUCUGGAGUAGCAACUGAACGAGCCGAUCGUUAGUUCGUUUUAUGCAGCACAAUUUACAAACUAUAUUCUUGUUAUUUACUUAUUUUUUUUUCUGUUGUAAACAUAAACAUUUGCUAGUACACGACAUGUGCGACUUAAGUUCUUAAAUACCUGAAACUGUUAAACAAAAAGAAAAAAACAAAGAAAAUAUUCUGUUUUUGUACACACAACCCAAGAUUUAAGAAAAUUUGUCCAUUUAUUGUUGUAAAUAUACUUGUCCAUACCAGUUAUAGAUAAUGAAUGAAGAAUAUAAGCAAAAAAAAAAAAAAAAGAAUGAGCUCAUCAAUACAGAAAAGCUACAAACAAAAAAGAAUAAAAGAAAUCUAAGAAGACCAAUAAAUUUCGAAACAAUUGUUCGCCAUAUUUUUAUUUUAAGCUAAAAUUCUAUACAAAUUUCAGUCUAAUCAUCGUACAAAUGGAGGAAGGGCCACUCUAAAUAUCCCAUACAGGUUUAUUUACUCGAAAAUUAUGCGUAUAAAAGUAUAAAAAUUUUAAGGUUUGAAGUUAAGGUAAACAUCGACAAUUUCUAUAUAUAUACGAGGCAUUCCCUAUAAAUAUAAGUUAAUAUUUUAGCCAAUACACAUACCUUGCGAUCAUAUAAGGGAAAUAUAACAUGCGAAUUUGUUAGUUAUAAAUAUAUUAGGGUUUUGGUAAAUGCUAACAAGUUAUGCGAUAAGCUGCAAAAAUGGUUGAAUAUUCAAAUAAUCUAUACGACACUCCAACGGCCGUAUUUAUACAAAUUUUAAAUACCCAACAUUACACAAUAUUCUACAAUUUAUUCAAAUUUUUCCGAUUUACUUAUGAGAUUAAGCGUCUUCAAUUUUUCUACAAUUUAUUUUUGGUUAGUCCUCGGUUUACUAGAUAUUAAACUCUACAACACAACCUGAACAGUUUACAUAUAAAAAUCAAAUUUACUUCAAAUACAAAGAGAACUAAACAAGGAUUAAACACAAAGAUUAAACACUAAUCCUCAAAAGCAAUUUUUCUUCCACAACUUAACAUCGGAACUUAACUUCAAUGACAAAAAAUACUCCUUAAUGGUCUAAAUUGUCCAGCAUAAAAUGGAACAUAUCAUCCAAUUAUGAUCUAGCUACUUUUCAACCUGGAAAUUUCCUCCAAAGAAUGAGUAUGAACUUUCCAAAAUCGUCUGAAUCAUCUGAAUCAAUGGAAACUACACGUCAGGCCAAGCAUAAAUCUACCUCAACGCACCACAUUUAAUUCAAGCUAAAACUUCUCAAAUAUUAAUGUGCCAACCAAGUAUACAUCCACAAAAGAUUCUUCUGCUUCUCAACUUCUCCAUCUACAAGCAACUCAAUAUCUUCUACUUCCCAACUGCUCCUCCAUCUACAAGCAACUAAACACAGCUGACAUCUUUCAAACUCAUCUGGUUGCUAUGUUUUAAGUUCGAUUUUCAACAACUUCAAAAUAUUUUUUACAACGUUCCUCAUCUUUCGACAAAUUUUACCAUUUAUAUAUAUAUCUGACCCGUGAUUACAACCAAAUUUUAAGUUUAAUUUAUAAUACACAAUCUACGAAACAUUCUACUCAAACCACGUUGUCUUAUACAUCUCCCUUAUAAAACUGCGUCCAAUAUAAAUUAUACAAUACUAAACAAACGAAAGAGUAUCAAAACAAAAAAUAUACACAAAACAAUCUGAAAAUCCCGUGUGCUCCGAACAUGGCCAAUUCUGGUAAACCCUACACGAAAAAAUCCUUUACAAAAGCUGCUUUCUAUUCAAAUAUUGCAAUACUAAAUAUACGAAAAAAGUGUAAAAACACACGAAAACUGCGAUAAAUUUUACGAAAAUGGUGUGUUCGGUCACGAAAGAGUGUGAAAACAUAGAAAUUUCCCUUUUAGGUAGGUCAUACACAAACCUCGAUUACAACCCAAAUUUUAAACAUACAAGAGAACGAGAACAUACACGAAAACUGCGAUGAAUUCGAAGAGAAUGGUGCUCGGUUAAGAGUGUGAAAACAUAGAAAUUUCGCUAUUAGGUAGGUUAUACACAAACUGCGAUGAAUUUGAGAGUAGUGUUCGAUUAAGAAAGAGUGUGAAAACAUAGAAAUUUCCCUUUUAGGUAUGUCAUACACAAUCUGCGUUGAAUUUGAAGAGAAUGGUGUUCGGUUAAGAGUGAAAACAUAGAAAUUUCCCUAUUAGGUAGGUCAAACACAAACCUCGAUACCCACCCAAAUUUUAAACAUACAAGAGUGUGAAAACAUACACAAAAACUGCGAUGAAUUUAAAGAGAAUUGCGUUCGGUUAGGAAAGAGUGUGAAAACAUAGAAAUUUCCCUUUUAGGUAGGUCAAACACAAACCUCGAUUACAACCCAAAUGUUAAACAUACAAGAGUGUGAAAACAUACACGAAAACUGCGAUAAAUUUAAAGAGAAUGGCGUGUUCGGUUAGGAAAGAGUGUGAAAACAUAGAAAUUUCCCUUUUAGGUAGGUCAAACACAAACCUCGAUUACAACCCAAAUGUUAAACAUACAAGAGUGUGAAAACAUACACGAAAACUGCGAUGAAUUCGAAGAGAAUGGUGUUCGGUUAAGAGUGUGAAAACAUAGAAAUUUCGCUAUUAGGUAGGUUAUACACAAACUGCGAUGAAUUUGAGAGUAGUGUUCGAUUAAGAAAGAGUGUGAAAACAUAGAAAUUUCCCUUUUAGGUAUGUCAAAACAAACUGCGAUAAAUUUUACGAAAAUGGCGUGUUCGGUUAAGAAAGAAUGUGAAAACAUAGAAAUUUCCCUAUUAGGUAGGUCAUACACAAACCUCGAUACCCACCCAAAUUUUAAACAUACAAGAGUGUGAAAACAUACACGAAAACUGCGAUGAAUGUAAAGAGAAUUGCUAUCGGUUAAGAGUGUGAAGACAUAGAAAUUUUACUUUUAGGUAGGUCAUACACAAUCUGCGUUGAAUUUGAAGAGAAUGGUGUUCGGUUGAGUGAAAACAUAGAAAUUUCCCUAUUAGGUAGGUCAAACACAAACCUCGAUACCCACCCAAAUUUUAAACAUACAAGAGUGUGAAAACAUACACGAAAACUGCGAUGAAUGUAAAGAGAAUUGCUAUCGGUUAAGAGUGUGAAGACAUAGAAAUUUUACUUUUAGGUAGGUCAUACACAAUCUGCGUUGAAUUUGAAGAGAAUGGUGUUCGGUUGAGUGAAAACAUAGAAAUUUCCCUAUUAGGUAGGUCAAACACAAACCUCGAUACCCACCCAAAUUUUAAACAUACAAGAGUGUGAAAACAUACACGAAAACUGCGAUAAAUUUAAAGAGAAUGGCGUGUUCGGUUAGGAAAGAGUGUGAAAACAUAGAAAUUUCCCUUUUAGGUAGGUCAAACACAAACCUCGAUUACAACCCAAAUUUUAAACAUACAAGAGUGUGAAAACAUACACGAAAACUGCGAUGAAUUUAAAGAGAAUGGCGUGUUUGGUUAGGAAAGAGUGUGAAAACAUAGAAAUUUCCCUUUUAGGUAGGUCAUUCACAAACUGCGAUGAAUUUAAAGAGAAUGGCGUGUUCGGUUAGGAAAGAGUGUAAAAACAUAGAAAUUUCCCUUUUAGGUAGGUCAAACACAAACCUCGAUUACAACCCAAAUGUUAAACAUACAAGAGUGUGAAACCAUACACGAAAACUGCGAUAAAUUUUACGAAAAUGGCGUGUUCGGUUAGGAAAGAGUGUGAAAACAUAGAAAUUUUCCUAUUAGGUAGGUCAUACACAAACUGCGAUGAAUUUGAGAGUGGAGUGUUCGGUUAAGAGUGUGAAUACAUAGAAAUUUCCCUUUUAGGUAGGUCAAACACAAACCUCGAUUACAACCCAAAUGUUAAACAUACAAGAGUGUGAAACCAUACACGAAAACUGCGAUAAAUUUUACGAAAAUGGCGUGUUCGGUUAAGAAAGAAUGUGAAAACAUAGAAAUUUCCCUAUUAGGUAGGUCAUACACAAACCUCGAUACCCACCCAAAUUUUAAACAUACAAGAGUGUGACAACAUUCACGAAAACUGCGAUGAAUUUAAAGAGAAUUGCUAUCGGUUAAGAGUGUGAAGACAUAGAAAUUUUACUUUUAGGUAGGUCAUACACAAUCUGCGUUGAAUUUGAAGAGAAUGGUGUUCGGUUAAGAGUGUGAAGACAUAGAAAUUUCCCUUUUAGGUAGGUUAUACACAAACUGCGAUGAAUUUGAGAGUAGUGUUCGAUUAAGAGUGUGAAAACAUAGAAAUUUCGCUAUUAGGUAGGUCAUUCACAAACUGCGAUGAAUUUAAAGAGAAUGGCGUGUUCGGUUAGGAAAGAGUGUGAAAACGUAGAAAUUUCCCUUUUAGGUAGGUCAUACACAAUCUGCGUUGAAUUUGAAGAGAAUGGUGUUCGGUUAGGAAAGAGUGUGAAAACGUAGAAAUUUCCCUAUUAGGUAGGUCAAACACAAACCUCGAUACCCACCCAUAUUUUAAACAUACAAGAGUGUGAAAACAUACACGAAAACUGCGAUAAAUUUUACGAAAAUGGCGUGUUCGGUUAAGAAAGAAUGUGAAAACAUAGAAAUUUCCCUUUUAGGUAGGUCAUACACAAUCUGCGUUGAAUUUAAAGAGAAUUGCGUUCGGUUAAGUGUGAAAACAUAGAAAUUUCCCUUUUAGGUAGGUCAAACACAAACCUCGAUUACAACCCAAAUGUUAAACAUACAAGAGUGUGAAAACAUACACGAAAACUGCGAUAAAUUUUACGAAAAUGGCGUGUUCGGUUAAGAAAGAAUGUGAAAACAUAGAAAUUUCCCUUUUAGGUAGGUCAAACACAAACCUCGAUUACAACCCAAAUGUUAAACAUACAAGAGUGUGAAAACAUUCACGAAAACUGCGAUGAAUUUAAAGAGAAUUGCUAUCGGUUAAGAGUGUGAAGACAUAGAAAUUUUACUUUUAGGUAGGUCAUACACAAUCUGCGUUGAAUUUGAAGAGAAUGGUGUUCGGUUAAGAGUGUGAAGACAUAGAAAUUUCCCUUUUAGGUAGGUUAUACACAAACUGCGAUGAAUUUGAGAGUAGUGUUCGAUUAAGAGUGUGAAAACAUAGAAAUUUCGCUAUUAGGUAGGUCAUUCACAAACUGCGAUGAAUUUAGAGAGAAUGGCGUGUUCGGUUAGGAAAGAGUGUGAAAGCGUAGAAAUUUCCCUUUUAGGUAGGUCAUACACAAUCUGCGUUGAAUUUGAAGAGAAUGGUGUUCGGUUGAGUGAAAACAUAGAAAUUUCCCUAUUAGGUAGGUCAAACACAAACCUCGAUACCCACCCAAAUUUUAAACAUACAAGAGUGUGAAAACAUACACGAAAACUGCGAUAAAUUUAAAGAGAAUGGCGUGUUCGGUUAGGAAAGAGUGUGAAAACAUAGAAAUUUCCCUUUUAGGUAGGUCAAACACAAACCUCGAUUACAACCCAAAUGUUAAACAUACAAGAGUGUGAAAACAUACACGAAAACUGCGAUAAAUUUUACGAAAAUGGCGUGUUCGGUUAAGAAAGAAUGUGAAAACAUAGAAAUUUCCCUUUUAGGUAGGUCAUACACAAUCUGCGUUGAAUUUAAAGAGAAUUGCGUUCGGUUAAGUGUGAAAACAUAGAAAUUUCCCUAUUAGGUAGGUCAAACACAAACCUCGAUUACAACCCAAAUUUUAAACAUACAAGAGAGUGAGAACAUACACGAAAACUGCGAUGAAUUUGAAGAGAAUGGUGUUCGGUUAAGAGUAUGAAAACAUAGAAAUUUCCCUUUUAGGUAGGUCAUUCACAAACUGCGAUGAAUUAAAAGAGAAUGGCGUAAAAACAUAGAAAUUUCCCUUUUAGGUAGGUCAAACACAAACCUCGAUUACAACCCAAAUGUUAAACAUACAAGAGUGUGAAAACAUUCACGAAAACUGCGAUGAAUUUAAAGAGAAUUGCUAUCGGUUAAGAGUGUGAAGACAUAGAAAUUUUACUUUUAAGUAGGUCAUACACAAUCUGCGUUGAAUUUGAAGAGAAUGGUGUUCGGUUAAGAGUGAAAACAUAGAAAUUUCCCUUUUAGGUAGGUUAUACACAAACUGCGAUGAAUUUGAGAGUAGUGUUCGAUUAAGAGUGUGAAAACAUAGAAAUUUCGCUAUUAGGUAGGUCAUUCACAAACUGCGAUGAAUUUAAAGAGAAUGGCGUGUUCGGUUAGGAAAGAGUGUGAAAACGUAGAAAUUUCCCUUUUAGGUAGGUCAUACACAAUCUGCGUUGAAUUUGAAGAGAAUGGUGUUCGGUUAAGAGUGUGAAAACAUAGAAAUUUUACUUUUAGGUAGGUCAUACACAAUCUGCGUUGAAUUUAAAGAGAAUUGCGUUCGGUUAAGUGUGAAAACAUAGAAAUUUCCCUAUUAGGUAGGUCAAACACAAACCUCGAUUACAACCCAAAUUUUAAACAUACAAGAGAGUGAGAACAUACACGAAAACUGCGAUGAAUUUGAAGAGAAUGGUGUUCGGUUAAGAGUAUGAAAACAUAGAAAUUUCCCUUUUAGGUAGGUCAUUCACAAACUGCGAUGAAUUAAAAGAGAAUGGCGUAAAAACAUAGAAAUUUCCCUUUUAGGUAGGUCAAACACAAACCUCGAUUACAACCCAAAUGUUAAACAUACAAGAGUGUGAAAACAUACACGAAAACUGCGAUAAAUUUUACGAAAAUGGCGUGUUCGGUUAAGAAAGAAUGUGAAAACAUAGAAAUUUCCCUUUUAGGUAGGUCAUACACAAUCUGCGUUGAAUUUAAAGAGAAUUGCGUUCGGUUAAGAGUGUGAAAACAUAGAAAUUUUACUUUUAGGUAGGUCAUACACAAUCUGCGUUGAAUUUGAAGAGAAUGGUGUUCGGUUGAGUGAAAACAUAGAAAUUUCCCUAUUAGGUAGGUCAAACACAAACCUCGAUACCCACCCAAAUUUUAAACAUACAAGAGUGUGAAAACAUACACGAAAACUGCGAUAAAUUUAAAGAGAAUGGCGUGUUCGGUUAGGAAAGAGUGUGAAAACAUAGAAAUUUCCCUUUUAGGUAGGUCAAACACAAACCUCGAUUACAACCCAAAUGUUAAACAUACAAGAGUGUGAAAACAUACACGAAAACUGCGAUAAAUUUUACGAAAAUGGCGUGUUCGGUUAAGAAAGAAUGUGAAAACAUAGAAAUUUCCCUUUUAGGUAGGUCAUACACAAUCUGCGUUGAAUUUAAAGAGAAUUGCGUUCGGUUAAGUGUGAAAACAUAGAAAUUUCCCUAUUAGGUAGGUCAAACACAAACCUCGAUUACAACCCAAAUUUUAAACAUACAAGAGAGUGAGAACAUACACGAAAACUGCGAUGAAUUUGAAGAGAAUGGUGUUCGGUUAAGAGUAUGAAAACAUAGAAAUUUCCCUUUUAGGUAGGUCAUUCACAAACUGCGAUGAAUUAAAAGAGAAUGGCGUAAAAACAUAGAAAUUUCCCUUUUAGGUAGGUCAAACACAAACCUCGAUUACAACCCAAAUGUUAAACAUACAAGAGUGUGAAAACAUUCACGAAAACUGCGAUGAAUUUAAAGAGAAUUGCUAUCGGUUAAGAGUGUGAAGACAUAGAAAUUUUACUUUUAGGUAGGUCAUACACAAUCUGCGUUGAAUUUGAAGAGAAUGGUGUUCGGUUAAGAGUGAAAACAUAGAAAUUUCCCUUUUAGGUAGGUUAUACACAAACUGCGAUGAAUUUGAGAGUAGUGUUCGAUUAAGAGUGUGAAAACAUAGAAAUUUCGCUAUUAGGUAGGUCAUUCACAAACUGCGAUGAAUUUAAAGAGAAUGGCGUGUUCGGUUAGGAAAGAGUGUGAAAACGUAGAAAUUUCCCUUUUAGGUAGGUCAUACACAAUCUGCGUUGAAUUUGAAGAGAAUGGUGUUCGGUUGAGUGAAAACAUAGAAAUUUCCCUAUUAGGUAGGUCAAACACAAACCUCGAUACCCACCCAAAUUUUAAACAUACAAGAGUGUGAAAACAUACACGAAAACUGCGAUAAAUUUAAAGAGAAUGGCGUGUUCGGUUAGGAAAGAGUGUGAAAACAUAGAAAUUUCCCUAUUAGGUAGGUCAAACACAAACCUCGAUACCCACCCAAAUUUUAAACAUACAAGAGUGUGAAAACAUACACGAAAACUGCGAUAAGUUUUACGAAAAUGGCGUGUUCGGUUAAGAAAGAAUGUGAAAACAUAGAAAUUUCCCUUUUAGGUAGGUCAUACACAAUCUGCGUUGAAUUUAAAGAGAAUUGCGUUCGGUUAAGAGUGUGAAAACAUAGAAAUUUCCCUAUUAGGUAGGUCAAACACAAACCUCGAUUACAACCCAAAUUUUAAACAUACAAGAGUGUGAAAACACACGAAAACUGCGAUGAAUUUAAAGAGAAUGGCGCGUUCGGUUAGGAAAGAGUGUGAAAACAUUGAAAUUUCCCCAUUAGGUAGGUCAAACACAAACCUCGAUUACAACCCAAAUUUUAAACAUACAAGAGUGUGAAAACAUACACGAAAACUGCGAUGAAUUUAAAGAGAAUGGCGUGUUUGGUUAGGAAAGAAUGUGAAAACAUAGAAAUUUCCCUUUUAGGUAGGUCAUACACAAUCUGCGUUGAAUUUAAAGAGAAUUGCGUUCGGUUAAGAGUGUGAAAACAUAGAAAUUUCCCUAUUAGGUAGGUCAAACACAAACCUCGAUUACAACCCAAAUUUUAAACAUACAAGAGUGUGAAAACACACGAAAACUGCGAUGAAUUUAAAGAGAAUUGCGUUCGGUUAAGAGUGUGAAGACAUAGAAAUUUCCCUUUUAGGUAGGUCAUACACAAACCUCGAUUACAACCCAAAUUUUAAACAUACAAGAGUGUGAAAACAUACACGAAAACUGCGAUGAAUUUAAAGAGAAUGGCGUGUUUGGUUAGGAAAGAGUGUGAAAACAUAGAAAUUUCCCUUUUAGGUAGGUCAUUCACAAACUGCGAUGAAUUUAUAGAGAAUGGCGUGUUCGGUUAGGAAAGAGUGUAAAAACAUAGAAAUUUCCCUUUUAGGUAGGUCAAACACAAACCUCGAUUACAACCCAAAUGUUAAACAUACAAGAGUGUGAAACCAUACACGAAAACUGCGAUAAAUUUUACGAAAAUGGCGUGUUCGGUUAGGAAAGAGUGUGAAAACGUAGAAAUUUUCCUAUUAGGUAGGUCAUACACAAACUGCGAUGAAUUUGAGAGUGGAGUGUUCGGUUAAGAGUGUGAAUACAUAGAAAUUUUCCUAUUAGGUAGGUCAUACACAAACCUCGAUUACAACCCAAAUUUUAAACAUACAAGAGUGUGAAAACAUACACGAAAACUGCGAUGAAUUUAAAGAGAAUGGCGUGUUUGGUUAGGAAAGAGUGUGAAAACAUAGAAAUUUCCCUUUUAGGUAGGUCAUUCACAAACUGCGAUGAAUUUAAAGAGAAUGGCGUGUUCGGUUAGGAAAGAGUGUAAAAACAUAGAAAUUUCCCUUUUAGGUAGGUCAAACACAAACCUCGAUUACAACCCAAAUGUUAAACAUACAAGAGUGUGAAACCAUACACGAAAACUGCGAUAAAUUUUACGAAAAUGGCGUGUUCGGUUAGGAAAGAGUGUGAAAACGUAGAAAUUUUCCUAUUAGGUAGGUCAUACACAAACUGCGAUGAAUUUGAGAGUGGAGUGUUCGGUUAAGAGUGUGAAUACAUAGAAAUUUCCCUUUUAGGUAGGUCAAACACAAACCUCGAUUACAACCCAAAUUUUAAACAUACAAUAAUUUAAACACAUACAAGAAAACUGUGAAUAAUUUGAGAGUGAAGUGUUUGGUUUAGAAAGAGUGUGAAAACUUGCGAUAUGAUGCGAAAAUGGUUAAACAUUAAGAUAAUAUACAUGACAUUACAACGCCAUAUUUCUGUAAAAUUAAAGACCCAAGAACAUAGGAUGAUACACAAUUAAUUAUAUUUGGUAAUUUAUCAUGAACUUCUUUACGUCUUAAAUUUUAUUUCUGCAUAGUCAAUGUUUUACUAGAUAUCAUCAAACUACAAUGCCACGUGAAAAAUGCACAAAGAAAAAUCGAAAAUCCCUUUCAAAAAUCAAGGAAAAGCGACAAUUGACAGAACAUUAAAUGCUUCUAAUCAACAAAAUACACAGCAUUUUUUGUCUACGAUUUAUAAAAGUUCGAACUUCACCUUUACCUUCUAUAACACAAAAAUAUCCUUUAUUGGUCAAAAUUGUCCAGCAUAAAAUGGAACAUAUCAUCCAAUUAUGAUCUAGCUACUUUUCAACCUGGAAAUUUCCUGCAAAGAAUGAGUAUGAACUUUCCAAAAUCGUCUGAAUCAUCUGAAUCAAUGGAAACUACACGUCAGGCCAAGCAUAAAUCUACCUCAACGCACCACAUUUAAUUCAAGCUAAAACUUCUCAAAUAUUAAUGUGCCAACCAAGUAUACAUCCACAAAAGAUUCUUCUGCUUCUCAACUUCUCCAUCUACAAUCAACUCAAUAUCUUCUACUUCCCAACUGCUCCUCCAUCUACAAGCAACUCAACACAGCUGACAUCUUUAAAAUGAAACUCUCUCACUAUUUUUAAGUUCGAUCUUCAACAAAACGAAAAUAUUUUUCCAACGUCCAACAAUUAACUUUCAAGGACAUGAAACCACAUCUAUCACAUUAUGUCUCAGAAAUCUGAACCCUGGUUUAUCAAAGCACAAAUCACAAGUAGAAUACUGAAAUAAUAAAUUCGGAGUCCACAUGUAUGACCCCUUUCUCAUAUACUCCGAAAAUGUUCACGAUACUAAUAAGCCUCCAAGUAACACGAAAUAUUUAUAUGACAAACUGCAUUUCAUACAAAUAUUACAAUACUAAACAUGCCAGAUAUGUCCUGAAAAUGAUACGUCUGUAUGGUUAAGAUGAGUGUGAAAACAUCGAAAUUUCCCAAUUGGAAACUUCCCUAAUACACAAAAUAUACCACGUUGAAUAUGAAAAGUUGACUUACAUAGAAAAUGCCCAAUUGUGAAAAGAGGGAAAUUUGUUUAUUUUGAAAAGAAGUCCCUAAAUCUUACUACGUUUUUGGAUAUACAAAUUAUUUGAAUUAACUUUGGUUCCUGAAAAACAAAUUGAUACAAAUAUAACUGGACAUAAAACCGAUUACUAUGAAAUUCAAGAAGACAAUAAUUACGACAUGUUUUUGAAAUGCAACCAACAAUAUGAUGACAAACUUAUGUACAAAUAGGAUUAUAUAUAUAUACAUAUAUCACUUAUUACUUUGCCUAAAUGUAAAAACCUAGAUCAACAACAAUAAUAUAUGUUAACAUCAGACACUAUAUAAUAGAGUAUGAUUUAUAUUUGAUAUGAAUGUGCAUGGCUAACACAUUUAUUCACUAUAAAUCGAUUCACAUUGUUCGUUUGAAUAUGCUGAAUCAAUUCAUGUAUACAUUCCGUUGAAAGCUUUCUGUUUAGCAACAAUUUCCAGAAAACAUGUUUUAUGUUGCAUUUGUGAAGGAACUUUGCCACAAUUAAUAUAUAACCCAUUUGUUGCUCAACUAACAUACUUUCGGUCUAUAUUUAACAAUUACAAUUUGUUCACUUUCUGUAUGCGACUGUACACUAAGGUAUAAACUAUACACCUCAACUCUGGUUAAUAAUCUUGUUCUUUGCAAAUAUACAUUUUAUGUUUAUUUGAAAUUAAUUAUUGCAUAGAUCUUAUAGGAAAUAGUUUGCCAGUUGAGAUCUGUUUCUACGGCUUGCUAACACCAAGUAUUUGCAGCAGUAAAGUUUUUUUCCAUAUUUUUAAUGUGUUGUCAAUUAUUAUAACAUAUCCUGUAUACUCUCACAAACUUUAAUUUAUUUCCCUAUUCAAAACUAAUUAUAUUCAUCUGGAACAACAUUUUAUACAGCCAAACUUUGCUAUCCUUACCCCCUCCCCCCCUUAUGUAUUCUAUUAAGUCUUAAUCCCAACUUGUUGCAACUGUUUAAUCAUCAUCGAGCCUUCUUCAAUAGAGUAUGGAUAUAUAUUCUGUAUAAUAAUCCUUUUGUACAAUCUGUUUCCCAUUCCCGCGACAUUCUCUGGGAAAAUCUAUCUAUCAACGAAUCAAACUGAUAAACCUCACGCCUCACCUGUUAAAUGUUACCUCUUCUCACCUGCUUGAAAUGCUCCAGGAUAAUAACAAAAAUCUUAUAAUACUUUUUAAUUGAUUGAAUUGGCGUCAUCAAAAAAACACUUUCGAAUGCAAUUGAAUGAAUCGGGCAAAUAUUAAUGUAAGCAUCAAAAUCAGAAAUUCACCAAAAUAUGGGCUUUACCUCAAAUAUUACAGCUAUAAACCUUAUUUGAUAUAUUGCAACAAGAAAAUGCAUAUUAAUUUAUGAAUCAUUAUCUUCGUUUAUUAUAACCAUAUACAUUUGUUAGAUUCACAAAUUCGCUCAGAAAUACAGCUUAAAUAAUUCGCAUCGCACAAAGAAACAAAGAAAUCGCAAAUGAAUUUUUUAAUGGAAAUAUUUGGGGAAAAUGGAAACGAUCUACAUAUAAAUAUUGAAAGUAGUAUCUAUUUUACAUAAAUAUAUGCCCAAACUAAAAAGGGCAUGAGGCCAUAAUUAAAAUACCAGAAAAGUUAAGGAAUCAAAUGAAAAACAAACAUAUAUAAAAUCUAAACUAUGAGCCAAAUAUUUGUUGCG